rnacentral:lncRNA from 1 species
CCGACCCGGUCCGGCGACCGGCCCCGCUCCACGGCGGGCAGCCCGAUAGGCACAGGGAGCGAGGACCGGGAGCUGGAUGGCGGUGUGGAGGCCUGAGGCGAAGGCUAAGCCUGCCCCUCCCCGGGCCGCCUUCAGCGAGCUUCGGCGCGGGUCUCCGCGUUGAGAGAAGUGAUGAGUCAGGUUUGCUCGGCUCCAUGCUAAUGCACGGAGAUGGAGGGUGUAAUUAGUAGAGAGGCAGGGCUGUGAUCUGCAGCGCGGGGCGGCCGGGCCACGCACCUCCUCUGUGCUUCAGAGCGUCGCUGAAGUUCUCCUUGUUUCGUGCUCCUCCAGCCCCAACGGUGUAUAUGCAGGGUUUGGUGGGAGCAGAGCCACAGACGUCGGAAGGUGUCUGUGUGUGAAGCACCCCGCGUUAUGUAAUUCUGAUGUUGAAAGAUGACGGUAAGAAGGAUUUGAUUUAGUCAUGGAAACUGAAUAUUGCGGCUCCCCAAAUCUCUAAGAAGUCUUAGGAUGUUGCAUACAGCGUUCUCAAGGUUUCUCCCGUCCAAGUAAUUGUAAAUGGCCCGCUUGAGAGCUGUGAUCUGCUUUAUAUGCUUUCAUCCAUUAGAAUACCUCUUGUCUUUGCAAAACGACACAUUGUGUAAUUUAGGCAACUGGCUGGGCUAAGAAGGGCACAAUGAAGUGAGUAAUUUACAUCUCUUAGGGAGAUUAAUUGAACCCAGCUCUGGUCGUCUUCAAGAACUACUGAGAAGUUUCUCGGCAAACUUCUCCACCCGAAGUAAAAUCACAGCCUCCGCCACCUUGCCCCUUCCAGCAGCUUCUGAAGGAAUCUUCACCUCAAACAGAGCUGUCAGCAGCAGUGAGGGCUGCCACUCACCAGUCAUUUCAAUGCGGAAAGCACUCGAGACACAGCAACAGGCAACAGAACGCAGCGCUCACAGAGAAACAAAUUGACAAGUACCCACGACUGGACAUCCUCAGAAACACGGUUGUGUCCUGUUCCUCUCCACUGCAGUUAUUCCCACUCAGAGUGACCACUUCAGAGCUUUAACAAAGCCCAUUACAAACGGGAACAUUUUCCGUUAGCCAAGUUGUCAGUGCAAGCAGGGUUUUCUCAGAAGGUACCCACAAGAAGCAAUUAGACGUGUGAGCAAAGGCAGUCAGCACAUGGGAUCCUCCCCAGCGAAACAGGCUCAGCGCUGAAGGCUCGUCUGCAUGGCAUGUUUCUUCUUUCAUCGAACACCAGCAAAAUGCCAGGAACAUUCCUGGACAGGAGAAAUCUUGAAUUCUGCAAUUCAGCCUUAAAGAAACACUCCUCUGGGGAACUGCCCAACUGCCUGAUGGAAAUGAGUGACUCCUGUAUGCAGAUCUGCCUUCGAAGACUCUGACCUAUUUCAGCCCAGCUUUGCAGAACACACAAGCUCUAUUUAUGAUGCUGCAGGAAGGGAAAGGCAGGGUGCAAGCAAUGCACCUUGCUCUGCUGGGAAAGAGCUGGCAGCCCCAGCUCCAGCAGUGAAGCCCCGCAUCAGGAGAUGGUGGGACCUGGCUCCUGUUGGGGCAAUGAGUAACAUCAUCACAUCUGACUGAACCUCUGGCAUGUAGACUUGACUACUUACUCUUGCUGCAGAAGCAUUUAUAUUGACACAGAUUCAGGAAGAUGCUGCACAGCAGAAUCAGGGAAACAACUGUUUUAUAAGCAGAGUGAUGCCUUCAUACAGCACAACAGUGUGAUCUGCGAUGGAAAACAUAACAGGACUGUAUUCCACAGCAAGGUCAUGUUUUGAGAAUUUUAUUCGUCCUCAUUUCUAUUAAAGUGUCUUUUUACAGGGAGAAAUAACUUCUUUUAGUUAUGCUGUAUUGCUCUUGAAACUUAACCUUCCUCUAGCUGGGCUCUAUAAAUCACGGAUUUUCUUAUAAACAGAUUACAGAUCCGCUUACAUCUUUGUAUUAUUUGGCUCCUUCAUUUCAGAAACAGUAUGGGCCAUAUUCUCCCCUGGCAUAGCUCCAUUCCCAGUAUUCUUAUUUUGAGGAUGCUGGGCCAGAUUCCUGAUCUCUCUGCUUUGUCAAUGGGCGCUAAGAGCCAUGCUGCUGCGAUCACUGCUGUCACAUAUCAGUAACACCACUCUGCUGCUGAGCAGAACAUAGCCCUCUGCUUAAACAGCACUUUGAUCAAGUGAAAUAAGGAAAAUAUUGCUGAAUGUAGCCUUCAGCAUAUUACUUGUUCUGCUGAAAGAUCAUCCGCUCUUGGCUUAGCUUAUUUCAAGCAUGACAGUCCAGGAAAAAGAGUGUACCUGUGAGUGAAAUAAGACUCAGUGGGAGUCAAUAAGACCCAAAGUAUUGCGGUAUUCAUAAAUGUAUAUUUGUGCUGAAGCAUGCUAAACCUCAAAGGCUGGAUAUAAAUAUCAAUGUCUAUUGAAUUUCAGGAAGAGAUGGCUGGUGGAAAGCAUGCCCGAUGCCGUUCUGCAAUGUGCAACCCUGUUUACACAGGGGCUAUUCAUAGGCACGUUCCUGCUGCUGGGCAGGGAAUUUGCCUCUUCCCAGCCAGCUCAUGCAAAGCAAAUUCUCCUCUAUAGUUCUCAGGCUGGAAAUUUAGCUUCCCUUGAAGUAAAGCAGCAGUGCUGUGCUUCCAUGCAAGCGAUGGGCCAGCUGAAGGUGCGGGACAAGGAGCUGCCCAAAACCUGCCAAAGGACAAAAGCAGCUUCAUAAAGGCAGAGGUCAAAAUGGCACUGAUGUCUCCUUGUGAUCAAAUGCAGGCUGCACUUCUUUAAUCAGAAAAUGUGCCACAGUUGGAAUCCGGCAAAAUGAAUUCUAAGCACGUCCCUUCUGCAGCCAGUUUUCCUUCUGCCCACUGGGACAGUGGAGAGAUGACACAGUUCAGAAGUAAACCCACAGCACGGAUUUGUGAUUCUGUCAGAUUGGAUUCUCCUUCCCCACUCCUGGACUUGCUCUGGAGGUCUCUAGGCUUUAUGAAGCUGUAAUGGACAAGGAGAGCACUGGGGAAUUAAAGCCCACCUGCCUCCUGCUAUCCCCUUUCAGGGCUUUUUGGACUGGUGCUUCCUGGAGCUAGUGAGAUCCAUUCAUGAAAGGUGCUGAAUGGCAAACACAAAAGUCCAGAAAGAGUAGUUGUCUUAGGAGUUAUCGAGAACAGUGCCUACUACUUGACAAGCUGCAGAGAAAGUAAAGCCAGAAAAUGCCCACAUUGAGAACAAAGCUGAUGUGACGACUGAGUGCCUGAGAAUGGCACCAAUGGGAAGAGCUCAGCACGGC